rnacentral:rRNA from 1 species
UAAUACAUAGGUAACCUACCCUUAAGACGAGGAUAGCCAUUGGAAACGAUGGAUAAAACUGGAUAGGAUAUAGAGGAAGAAUCUUUUAUAUUUAAAAGAGAGAUCUGCUUAAGGAGGGGCCUGUGGCGCAUUAGCUAGUUGGUGGGGUAAGGGCCUACCAAGGCGAUGAUGCGUAGCCGGACUGAGAGGUUGAACGGCCACAAUGGAACUGAGAACGGUCCAUACUCCUACGGGAGGCAGCAGUAGGGAAUUUUCGGCAAUGGGGGGAACCCUGACCGAGCAACGCCGCGUGAACGAAGAAGUUAUUCGUAAUGUAAAGUUCUUUUAUCAGGGAAGAAAGAGGAAUUUGACGGUACCUGAGGAAUAAGCUCCGGCUAACUACGUGCCAGCAGCCGCGGUAAUACGUAGGGAGCGAGCGUUAUCCGGAAUUAUUGGGCGUAAAGGGUGCGUAGAUGGCAUAGUAAGUCUUUUGUAAAAAUGCUGGGCUCAACCCAGUAGGGCAAAAGAUACUGCAAAGCUAGAGUAUGACAGAGGCAAGUGGAACUACAUGUGUAGCGGUAAAAUGCGUAAAUAUAUGUAAGAACACCAGUGGCGAAGGCGGCUUGCUGGGUCGAUACUGACAUUGAGGCACGAAAGCGUGGGGAGCAAACAGGAUUAGAUACCCUGGUAGUCCACGCCCUAAACGAUGAGUACUAAGUGU